UUAACAAGGGUUCAGUUAUUUUACAAGGGAGAACAAUGGUUCCUCUGACCACUUUUGAUUCAUUGCAUCUCUGGUUUCCAUGGAGCAUCAUAAAAGGAUCUAUGUGUGUGUCAAGAGAAUGGAUGGAGAGAAGCGGCCCCAGGCAAACAGGAGAGGAGGCUUCUGCCUGAUGGGUCUUCAUCCGAAACUCAACAGCAACUCUGACAAAGAGAUGGGAGAUUGUGGAUCUGUGGGCACAACAAGGUCCUUUCAGAAGCCAAUCCCGAAGGAAUCUCCUCACCCAAGCCUCCACAAUACUGUGACGGCGAGAACAGACAUUAAAUAAAGUCCGGCGGUUUGUGGUU